UACGUAGGGUGCAAGCGUUGUCCGGAAUUAUUGGGCGUAAAGAGCUCGUAGGCGGUUUGUCGCGUCUGCUGUGAAAACUCAGGGCUUAACCCUGAGCCUGCAGUGGGUACGGGCAGACUAGAGUGUGGUAGGGGAGAUCGGAAUUCCUGGUGUAGCGGUGGAAUGCGCAGAUAUCAGGAGGAACACCGGUGGCGAAGGCGGGACUCUGGGCCGAUACUGACGCUGAGGAGCGAAAGCGUGGGGAGCGAACAGG
rnacentral:rRNA from 1 species